GAGAUCAUACUUCACAGAAUCAUUUCUGUAGUAUGUAUUUCCUCGCAUUCAGCGAAAAUGCAACGGAGUGCAUCCGCGAUGAUGAGGCUAGGCGUCUAUCCUGGAGCAGGAAGCUGUCUGGUUAGGGGCAAACACCCUUAUCCAGACUUGAUGACUGCGAAAGGGACCUUGUGGGGUCCUUGGAAGGGAUGGAGGCGAGCUGAGCGGU
rnacentral:snoRNA from 1 species